rnacentral:rRNA from 1 species
CCCCUGGGCAUUACUUAGUACGGCGAGUGAAGCGGUAAAAGCUCAAAUUUGAAAUCUGGUACUUUCAGUGCCCGAGUUGUAAUUUGUAGAAUUUGUCUUUGAUUAGGUCCUUGUCUAUGUUCCUUGGAACAGGACGUCAUAGAGGGUGAGAAUCCCGUUUGGCGAGGAUACCUUUUCUUUGUAAGACUUUUUCGAAGAGUCGAGUUGUUUGGGAAUGCAGCUCAAAGUGGGUGGUAAAUUCCAUCUAAAGCUAAAUAUUGGCGAGAGACCGAUAGCGAACAAGUACAGUGAUGGAAAGAUGAAAAGAACUUUGAAAAGAGAGUGAAAAAGUACGUGAAAUUGUUGAAAGGGAAGGGCAUUUGAUCAGACAUGGUGUUUUUUGCAUGCACUCGCCUCUCGUGGGCUUGGGCCUCUCAAAAAUUUCACUGGGCCAACAUCAAUUCUGGCAGCAGGAUAAAUCAUUAAGAAUGUAGCUACUUCGGUAGUGUUAUAGCUUUUUGGAAUACUGUUAGCCGGGAUUGAGGACUGCGCUUCGGCAAGGAUGUUGGCAUAAUGGUUAAAUGCCGCCCGUCUUGAACCCACGGGACCA